rnacentral:rRNA from 1 species
GACGAACGCUGGCGGCGUGCUUAACACAUGCAAGUCGAACGGAAAGGCCCUGCUUUUGUGGGGUGCUCGAGUGGCGAACGGGUGCGUAACACGUGUGUAACCUGCCCUUGACUUUGGGAUAACUUCAGGAAACUGGGGCUAAUACCGUAUAGGAGCUCCUGCUGCAUGGUGGGGGUUGGAAAUUUUCGGCGGUUGGGGAUGGACUCGCGGCUUAUCAGCUUGUUGGUGGGGUAGUGGCUUACCAAGGCUUUGACGGGUAGCCGGCCUGAGAGGGUGACCGGCCACAUGGGGACUGAGAGACGGCCCAGACUCCUACGGGAGGCAGCAGUGGGGAAUAUUGCACAAUGGGCGGAAGCCUGAUGCAGCAACGCCGCGUGCGGGAUGACGGCCUUCGGGUUGUAAACCGCUUUCGCCUGAGACGAAGCGUGGGUGACGGUAAUGGGUAAAGAAGCACCGGCUAACUACGUG